GCGUGUGUGGCGUAAUUGGCAGCCGCGCCAGAUUCAGGGUCUGGUGGGUUCACACCCCGUGCAGGUUCAAGUCCUGCCACACGCA
rnacentral:tRNA from 1 species